GAUGAACGCUGGCGGUGUGCCUAAUACAUGCAAGUCGAGCGAACAGACGAGGAGCUUACUCCUCUGACGUUAGCGGCGGACGGGUGAGUAACACGUGGACAACCUACCUAUAAGACUGGGAUAACUUCGGGAAACCGGAGCUAAUACCGGAUAACAUGUUGAACCGCAUGGUUCAACAGUGAAAGACGGUCUUGCUGUCACUUAUAGAUGGAUCCGCGUCGCAUUAGCUAGUUGGUAAGGUAACGGCUUACCAAGGCAACGAUGCGUAGCCGACCUGAGAGGGUGAUCGGCCACACUGGAACUGAGACACGGUCCAGACUCCUACGGGAGGCAGCAGUAGGGAAUCUUCCGCAAUGGGCGAAAGCCUGACGAAGCAACGCCGCGUGAGUGAAGAAGGUCUUCGGAUCGUAAAACUCUGUUAUUAGGGAAGAACAAAUGUGUAAGUAACUAUGCACGUCUUGACGGUACCUAAUCAGAAAGCCACGGCUAACUACGUG
rnacentral:rRNA from 1 species